rnacentral:rRNA from 2 species
CACGUAGGGCGCAAGCGUUGUCCGGAAUUAUUGGGCGUAAAGAGCUCGUAGGUGGCCUGUUGCGUCCGCUGUGAAAACUCAGGGCUUAACCCUGAGCCGGCAGUGGAUACGGGCAGGCUAGAGGUAGGUAGGGGAGAAUGGAAUUCCUGGUGUAGCGGUGAAAUGCGCAGAUAUCAGGAGGAACACCGGUGGCGAAGGCGGUUCUCUGGGCCUUACCUGACACUGAGGAGCGAAAGCGUGGGGAGCGAACAGG